rnacentral:misc_RNA from 1 species
GAUGAAGAACGUAGUGAAAUGCGAUACGUAAUGUGAAUUGCAGAAUUCAGUGAAUCAUCGAGUCUUUGAACGCACAUUGCGCCCCCUGGUAUUCCGGGGGGCAUGCCUGUCCGAGCGUCAUUGCUGCCCUCAAGCACGGCUUGUGUGUUGGGCCUCCGUCCUCCUCCCGGGGGACGGGCCCGAAAGGCAGCGGCGGCACCGCGUCCGGUCCUCGAGCGUAUGGGGCUUCGUCACCCGCUCUUGUAGGCCCGGCCGGCGCUUGCCGACACAUCAAUCAUUUUUCCAGGUUGACCUCGGAUCAGGUAGGGAUACCCGCUGAACUUAAGCAUAUCAAUAAGCGGAGGA